rnacentral:rRNA from 1 species
UACGAAGGGUGCUAGCGUUGUUCGGAAUUACUGGGCGUAAAGCGUAGGUAGGCGGUCUACCAAGUCAGAGGUGAAAUCCCAGGGCUCAACCCUGGAAUUGCCUUUGAAACUGGUAGGCUAGAGAAUGUUAGAGGCAAGUGGAAUUCCUAGUGUAGGAGUGAAAUCCGUAGAUAUUAGGAGGAACAUCAAUGGCGAAGGCAGCUUGCUGGGACAUUACUGACGCUGAGCUACGAAAGCGUGGGUAGCAAACAGG